UGGUUUAGCUUGGGUCUGCAUGUUCAGACUGAUGUGGCUGAGUCUGGACUACUGACUGUUGAAAUCCCGUCUUUGACCUUGCAUGAUUUGAGUAGAAGUUGGCAGAAAUCUUGCAGGAGUAAUUUCUGCCUCAUAGAGGAUCCUGUCAGCACGGGAUGAGAUUUGCUAAGGCAGGACUCUGGUUUGGUCAUGCUGGAAUCAGCUCUGUGUUUCUACUGAAUCAAAGUCUGCAUAAAUUAAAACCAAAGCAUGGUACUUCAUUCAGAGACUUUAAAUCCAACCUGUUCAUCCUGUAUUUUCAAGAGGUUCACAACUGAGGGUUGGAUAUCAGGAAACUUUCAUUGAGGGAGUGACUCUUUAAAGAGUUGCAAAAGGUCUAGAAACCAGAGUUCUUUAUUCACAAGCCAUGCACAGUGCAGACAGCAGCAAUUGCAGCAAUCCUUUUCCCCAGGAACUGCAAACAAGCUUAACCCUGAGCUGGAAAGCCGUGCUCUGGAGAGGUGAAAGGAAAUUCAAUAUCUGAGCUGAAUGUGUUCUGACUUCCUUGGAAGACAAGAGUGCCAAUUGUACAAAGUUAUGAUGAUGAUGAUGAUGAUGUGAUGAGGACCCAAGGUUCACUGAGGCCUCCAUCAGCCAGGGACAUGCAUGGAGGACUCCAAGAUCAGCAGUCCCAUGGGGUGGGGGACAUGGGGUCGGCAGUAGGCCUGUGUUAUUCUUAUCCCUACUGCACUUGGAUGCCUUGGACAGCUUCAAGCCCUCUUUGUCAUAGGUAAAUCUUCCUGCUGGACUAUUUGUGUCACCUUUCCAUGUGCUGCUUCUGUCCCUGUUGGUGUGGGUCUUGUUUCUUUAUCCUCACAGCUGUUAUUUGGCCCUGGUCUGUGUUUGUGCCCCAGCUGGAGGUGGAUGUUGCAUGGUGCUGCUCCUUUUGGAUCUUUCUGUUCUCUUAAAUAGAAUUUUUCUAGCAUAGCAAGCAGGUGGCAUUUUCUAAUAAAAGG
rnacentral:lncRNA from 1 species